GGCUGAUUUGCUAUCCAAUGAAAAAAUUUACCAAAUGCCAGGUAAAACACUCUCAACGGAUGAAUGAUCCUCCCCUCAGACCUUGGGUAGCAAUAGCGAAAGAUGGUCAGAUCUUGUGCUGCCACUG